GACGAACGCUGGCGGCGUGCCUAACACAUGCAAGUCGAACGGAAAGGCCCUGCCUUUGUGGGGUGCUCGAGUGGCGAACGGGUGAGUAACACGUGAGUAACCUGCCCUUGACUUUGGGAUAACCUCAGGAAACUGGGGCUAAUACCGGAUAGGAGCACCUGCUGCAUGGUGGGGGCUGGAAAGUUUCGGCGGUUGGGGAUGGACUCGCGGCUUAUCCGCUUGUUGGUGGGGAAGUGGCUCACGAAGGCCUUGGCGGGUCGCCGGCCUGAGAGGGUGACCGGGCACAAUGGGACUGAGAUACGGCCCAGUCUCCUACGGGAGGCAGCAGUGGGGAGUAUUGCACAGUGAGCGGGAGCCUGAUGCAGCAGCGCCGCGGGCGGAAUGACGGCCUUCGGGUUAUGAACCGCUUUCGCCUGUGACGGAGCGUGGGUGACGGUAAUGGAUAAAGAAGCACCGGCUAACUACGUG
rnacentral:rRNA from 1 species